GUGAGCCAGUACAGGAUGGACCCGCGUCUGAUUAGCUAGUUGGUAAGGUAACGGCUUACCAAGGCGACGAUCAGUAGCCGACCUGAGAGGGUGAUCGGCCACAUUGGAACUGAGACACGGUCCAAACUCCUACGGGAGGCAGCAGUGGGGAAUAUUGCACAAUGGGCGAAAGCCUGAUGCAGCAACGCCGCGUGAGUGAUGAAGGCCUUCGGGUCGGAAAACUCUGUCCUCAAGGAAGAUAAUGACGGUACUUGAGGAGGAAGCCCCGGCUAACUACGUGCCAGCAGCCGCGGGAAUACGUAGGGGGCUAGCGUUAUCCGGAUUUACUGGGCGUAAAGGGUGCG
rnacentral:rRNA from 1 species